UGAGCAAUCUGCCCUUCUCUUCGGAAUAAGCGUUGGAAACGACGUCUAAUGCCGAAUACGACCUCCUUUCGCAUGAUCGGAGGUGGAAAGCUCCGGCGGAGAAGGAUGAGCUCGCGGCCUAUCAGCUAGUUGGUGUGGGUAAUGGCCCACCAAGGCGACGACGGGUGGCCGGCCUGAGAGGGUGACCGGCCACACUGGGACUGAGACACGGCCCAGACUCCGUACGGGAGGCAGCG
rnacentral:rRNA from 1 species